rnacentral:tRNA from 1 species
GAGAGUAUAGAGCGUAAUUGGUAGCGUCCCAGACUGUAAAUCUGGCGGCUUCGGUCCUUGGGGGUUCAAGUCCCUCUGCUUUCACCA